rnacentral:misc_RNA from 1 species
CUUCAAGAUCAUACUUUGAACGCUGCAAAUAGAUGGCAAUUGACAAAAUAAAGUCCCAAGUUUGUCACCAAAACAACUUUAAAAAAAUACUACACUAAAAUUUAGCAGUUUCUUUGGCUAAGCAAACAUGUUAUACUAAGGGCACAAUGUCAAGGCAAAAGAAGAUCACAAGCCGAUUAAACAUGUGAACAAGAAAUAUGCAGGAAGGAGAACCAUGUGCAUUGAUCUAAAUAUAAGAAGAAAUUAGUAAGUGAUUAUCAAUCUAAAAGCGAGAAAACCUGUGAACUAGAAAUACACAGGAAGG